rnacentral:tRNA from 1 species
CAAAAUGUAGCUUAAACAAAGCAUCCAGCUUACAAUUGGAAGACGCCGUUGAAACGACCUUUUUGA